GACGAACGCUGGCGGCGUGCUUAACACAUGCAAGUCGAACGGAAAGGCCCUGCUUUUGUGGGGUGCUCGAGUGGCGAACGGGUGAGUAACACGUGAGUAACCUGCCCUUGACUUUGGGAUAACUUCAGGAAACUGGGGCUAAUACCGGAUAGGAGCUCCUGCUGCAUGGUGGGGGUUGGAAAGUUUCGGCGGUUGGGGAUGGACUCGCGGCUUAUCAGCUUGUUGGUGGGGUAGUGGCUUACCAAGGCUUUGACGGGUAGCCGGCCUGAGAGGGUGACCGGCCACAUUGGGACGGAGAUACGGCCCAGACUCCUACGGGAGGCAGCAGUGGGGAAUAUUGCACAAUGGGCGGAAGCCUGAUGCAGCAACGCCGCGUGCGGGAUGACGGCCUUCGGGUUGUAAACCACUUUCGCCUGUGACGAAGCGUGAGUGACGGUAAUGGGUAAAGAAGCACCGGCUAACUACGUG
rnacentral:rRNA from 1 species